rnacentral:misc_RNA from 1 species
AGGGACAGUUUUUAAACGAGUCCGUAAUAUCUUAAAAGCAGCACUUUGCUGGGGUAGUAACAUCAAGAGACCAUUCAAAGCUUUUAACAACCACAUGUAUCUUCCUGGUUCAAGAAGCUGCAAUCUAAGGUAAGCAAAGAUUGGAGUUUCUAGCAAGCGAAUCAAUUUAUCCAGUUGGACCAAGAAUUUGACAUUGAUAUCUUCCUCUACCAGUGACUGAAUCACCACACUUGCAUGCUGGUAUGUCUGUGCUAAUAGGCAAAGGCUUAUAAUUGCCAUAGGUGAAUGGCACCACGAAGCGUAUAAAGAAACAAAUAAAUCUUUUCCAGCCGGAUUUACUAGUGAUUGUUUUAAAAGACCCCGAAGCUCAGCUAGUUCAGAGGAAGUUAGUAAGAUCAAAUUCAAAGCCUGAACCAUAAUUGAUGCAAAAUCCAGAUCAGCUUCACCCUCCAGUAUUGUGGAGAGUUCCCGAUAGACCCUUUCAGCAUCUAAAAGUACACAGAGUCUUCGGAUUAUCAAAGCACCACGCUUCUCCAGAAGAGAAUUGUCAACACGAAAAUUAUGCACC